CAGGGAUUGCCCUAGUAACGGCGAGUGAAGCGGCAACAGCUCAAAUUUGAAAUCUGGCUCUUUCAGAGUCCGAGUUGUAAUUUGCAGAGGGCGCUUUGGUGUUGGCAGCGGUCCAAGUUCCUUGGAACAGGACGUCACAGAGGGUGAGAAUCCCGUACGUGGUCGCUAGCCUUCGCCGUGUAAAGCCCCUUCGACGAGUCGAGUUGUUUGGGAAUGCAGCUCUAAAUGGGAGGUAAAUUUCUUCUAAAGCUAAAUACUGGCCAGAGACCGAUAGCGCACAAGUAGAGUGAUCGAAAGAUGAAAAGCACUUUGGAAAGAGAGUCAAAUAGCACGUGAAAUUGUUGAAAGGGAAGCGCUUGCAGCCAGACUUGCCUGUAGUUGCUUAUCCGGACUUUUGUCCGGUGCACUCUUCUGCGGGCAGGCCAGCAUCAGUUUGGGCGGUUGGAUAAAGGUCUCUGUCAUGUACCUCUCUUCGGGGAGAACUUAUAGGGGAGACGACAUGCAACCAGCCUGGACUGAGGUCCGCGCAUCUGCUAGGAUGCUGGCGUAAUGGCUGUAAGCGGCCCGUCUUGAAACACGGACCAAGGAGUCUAACAUCUAUGCGAGUGUUUGGGUGUCAAGCCCAGACGCGUAAUGAAAGUGAACGGAGGUGGGAACCCUUUGGGUGCACCAUCGACCGAUCCUGAUGUCUUCGGAUGGAUUUGAGUAAGAGCAUGGCUGUUGGGACCCGAAAGAUGGUGAACUAUGCUUGAAUAGGGUGAAGCCAGAGGAAACUCUGGUGGAGGCUCGCAGCGGUUCUGACGUGCAAAUCGAUCGUCAAAUUUGGGCAUAGGGGCGAAAGACUAAU
rnacentral:rRNA from 1 species